rnacentral:rRNA from 1 species
CCCUUAGAUGUUCUGGGCCGCACGCGCGCUACACUGAUUCAUGCAACAAGUUUUGUCCUUGGCCGACAGGCCCGGGCAAUCUUUGAACGCUGGUCGUGAUGGGGAUAGACUUUUGCAAUUUUUGGUCUUCAACGAGGAAUUCCUAGUAAACGCAAGUCAUCAACUUGCAUUGAUUACGUCCCUGCCCUUUGUACACACCGCCCGUCGCACCUACCGAUUGAAUGGUCCGGUGAAGCCUCCGGAUUGGCGCGCACCUCGGUGCCGCCGAGAAGUUGGCUAAACCUUACCAUUUAGAGGAAGGUGAAGUCGUAACA